rnacentral:rRNA from 1 species
CUUUAAAAGUAGUAAGUUCGGACGGGGGCCCGCACAAGCGGUGGAGCAUGUGGUUUAAUUCGACGCAACGCGAAGAACCUUACCGAGGCUUGACAUCCCUGACCGCGUAUGAAAGUACGUUUUCACCCUCGGGUGACAGGGAGACAGGUGGUGCAUGGUUGUCGUCAGCUCGUGUCGUGAGAUGUUGGGUUAAGUCCCGCAACGAGCGCAACCCCUACGUUUAGUUGCUAACGCGUGAAGGCGAGCACUCUAGACGAACUGCCGUUGACAAAACGGAGGAAGGUGGGAUGACGUCAAAUCAUCAUGCCCCUUAUGUUCUGGGCUACACACGUGCUACAAUGGCCGGUACAGACGGACGCAAAGCCGCGAGGUGGAGCAAAUCCGAAAAAGCCGGUCUCAGUUCGGAUUGCAGGCUGCAAUUCGCCUGCAUGAAGUCGGAAUCGCUAGUAAUCGCAGGUCAGCAUACUGCGGUGAAUACGUUCCCGGGCCUU